AUGGUGGAGAACAGAUUCGAGGGCACCGGUCCAGAGACUGGGAGAGCAAAGGGAGGGCAUGAGAGUCCAGGAAAGGGAUGGCACGGCCCCAGUCGGGACAGUAGCAAGGAGGCUGCAGAGGGGAUAGCUAGAAGAAAUAUCAAGGAGGCAACAUACGUGCAACCAGCUCUCAGUUUUGGUAUGCAGCUGGAGCGGUCUGAAAUUUCCAGCUUCACUGACCGGGAAGACAGAGGUAUCUUGCCCCGAGAUGAAGAAUCCAGAGGAAACAAUGAAUAAAUUCAAGACGAGAUCUCCGAAGAAGUUUCCGCAGGAAAACUCCAACUAUGACCCCAUCACCAGCCCCUGGGGUCCCAGGUCUAACGAUGGUCAAUAUCACAAUGGAACAGGGCUCCGCUUUGAUAUUCCAUUUCACUCAGAUCCCUGGAGCACAUCUCCAUAAACCAGCUGGAAAAGAAGAAUUCUAAUAACAGUAACAACCGCAUCCUAUUCGGUGAUCAAAAACUGCAACUAUGUUUUCCAAUCUGCUUGCGGUGAUGGAGUGUCAUCACUUGGAAUGAAAAACCACGGACUAGGGCGCCUGGGUGGCUCAGUGGGUUAAGCCGCUGCCUUUGGCUCAGGUCAUGAUCUCAGGGUCCUGGGAUCGAGUCCCACAUCGGGCUCUCUGCUCAGCGGGGAGCCUGCUUCCCUCUCUCUCUCUCUGCCUGCAUCUCCGUCUACUUGUGAUUUCUCUCUGUCAAAUAAUAAAAUCUUUAAAAA
rnacentral:lncRNA from 1 species